rnacentral:lncRNA from 1 species
AUCAUAGAAAUGGGAAGGAGUUAAACUCCUAAGUGCUUCUUAUCGAGUCAUUCAUAAUUAGUUUUCCUAUUGAACCUAGUCCAUGGGAUCUCCAGUUGCCAGGUUAGGUUUCCACUAAGAUGACUCAUUGGGUUUUAGGCUUUAAACCCAUUUCCCUCGAUGCGCAGUCUAUACGCUCUCUAGAUAACCCUUUAGUGAACGGAUCCGCUAGGUUUUCUUUUGACUUAACAAAAUCAAUUGAUAUUGUUCCAUUUGAGAGCAACUGCCGAACGGUGUUAUGUCUGCGACGUAUAUGUCUCGACUUACCGUUAUACACAAAAUUUUN